CAGCCAUCUUUGAGUAUCACAACCCCGCUGUUCAAUGAGAUUCGUUAGCACAUUUUGAAACAUUGUAAAGCUCUGUUUCAGGCUAGCUGGCGAAGCUGCUGCAUCUCCUCCUCCUACUUUGUUGACUGCAGCCCUAGAGGGUCAGCGAGUGUCUGCUCAUAACAAAUACCACUCUCCCCGAAUCACAGAGGAACGUGAGCUCUUUUCGUGGGAUUUGUCUUAAACCUCUAAAGUACCAAUACACACUCCUAGUGAAAUAAUGAAUCCAGGCAAUCGUCUGCAAUGGUUGCUGACAUUACAGAGGGGCCGAAGGAAAUUACGUGGCUCCUAUUGGAAUUUUACAAUACCACCUAUAAGGUAUUUCUGUUAAAAAAAAUUUUUAAGUUUUGUCAGAUCAAGCUUUAGAUCUAACUACAAGUUUGUAGUGAAUAGAGGGGAAAAAAGGAUGUAUAAAAAGACACUACAGGAAUUUAUUCAUGAAAAUCCAGAAUGUGGGUAACUCUAUAGGACAAUCUGGUUCCUUUGACAAAUGAAUUGCAGGUAAGACAAGGAGGGGAAAGCUGUAGAUGAAAGGAGACUUACAAUAAAUAUCAAACAAAAGCAAUACGUGAACCUCCUUGUUUGAAACCUGAUUUGAACAAGCCAACUGUAUUUUUUUUUUAAAGGAUACAAUUGGGAAAAUUUGAAUGCUGACAGUUUACUUAAUAAAAUUAAAGAGUUAUCAGCGAUUUUAAUGUGCAUUGAUGGUAUUGAGAUAAUGUUUUGGAAAUCCUUACUUUUUAAAUGUCUGGAAUUUGCUUCAAAAUAAUUUGGGCAGGGGAAGAUGGGUGGUUUAAAUGAAAUAAACUUGGGGGUUCAUUGUGCUCUUUUUCUACAUUUAUGUUUGAAUUUUCCAAAAUUCAAAAGUCAACAAAGAAGCAAAAUUUAAAAGUCCCCAGGGCACAAACACACACACUCUUGUAAGAACUCAGAUUCUAGUCUGACAAUUUCCAGCCUGAACCUGGAGCAGUCUUUCCCCCGAAGCCUUUCUUGAGGGUUUCACUGGAUUAUCUGGCCUUUAUUCAUAUCCACGUAGUGCUGUGUGCUCACUCCUCUUGUUUGUAACAUCAUGUGGUAAUUGCUGAGUCACUUGUGGAGUGGAAUAAUAUUUUUGAAUGAGCUUUUUGUUUCCCAUAUUUAUUCUUACCUCUUGGCCUUUACCCCAUUCAUCCAGCGAAGCAUAUAGUUCAUUGCCUCAAGAAGGGGUGAUAGAGUAGAUAUACAGAGACAAAAAAGGAGUUGAUUCUUAAGCUUUGAGUUUCAAAGCCUGAGCCUCACGGAAGAGGAAGGACCCACGUAGAGAAAACAAGUUUGAUACAAGAUGUGAGGAGUUCGAAAGAGCUAACUCAUAGGCAGGCUUCCUGGGCUGGAGUAUGGUGGACAGGGGCGAGAUGGAGGGAACACAGCCUAGUGGGAGACAGAGACAGGUGGGAUCUAGGAUGAGGGACCAGGUCUGGAGGCUUCACACAGACAGGCCCAGAGCCAGUCUCCAGAGAUAGCUUGCCCACAGUUGACCAUGCUCUAGAGUGAGUGCUGUUUGGCACCAGGGAAUCACGUGAGAGCUGAGUUAGCAGCCUCAGAUGGUCCAGUUUCUUUCCAGUGGGGAGUGUAUAUCACCUUAGCUGUCCCUCUUGUUAGUGCUGGGGUCUUUUAAUGUUGGGGAGGAGUGAAGAUGGAGGGAAUACAACUUGGUGGGAGGCAGAGACAGGUGAGAUCUGGGAUGUGCCUGAGCUCUGAACAAACUCAGAAAUAAAACCAAGAAGGGCAAACAUCUACAAUAUCACCGUUCCUAUUGAUAAACCCUAGGUUGCAGAUGUAGAAUAUGGAUUACAGAACCCCAGAUGAGAGAGAUGUAUCUUCUCUCCCACAGGCAGUGCUGGAUGAAGGGCAGGCCCUCCCUCUGGGACGUGAUGGGAUGUCCCAUGAGUUUUUUGGCAGCUCCCACUACUCAUCCUGGUAAGCAAGUUUGCCCCCCAAGAGGAAAAAGGGAGAUGAUAUAUGAGAAUGUCCAGUUUAGUCUUCCCAGUUUUAUCAGAUAGGGAAGUGAUUAUACUUCCUUGUGUGAUAAAAUUGGAGUGGAGAGCCAGCAGCGUCAACAUUAGUUGUUCUUCUCUCAACAUUAAAGGAGGCACCAGGAAUGAGGAAUAGGCUCUCCCCUCUAAUGAUCAGCAACCAGCACAUCACUGUACUGAUCAUCUGGCAGAGUGAUAUCUAUUCUUAGAGUUGUGCGAGGUCUCAUGUAUGUAUUUCAUCUUGUAGGAGACAUUUACCAAUUUUUGACCACUCAGCACCAAUACGCCUUCAUACCUGCACUCUGAUUGUAUUUAGGGAAAUUAAUUCUCUCCACUGUGUGCAGUCUCAGUUUGGUCGGAAGCCCAGGUAUUUGCUCUGCCAUUAUGGACCGUAAAGUGAUUCCUGGAGGCUCCUUUCAUCGGAUCCUUUUUCUUAUCACUCAAGAACCACCAAGAGGUAGGCACAUGGUACUAUCAGAGUCUCAUGCAACUUUAAAUCUUGGGUGGAAUUAUGCAAAGUUGGAGGAAAUUAUUGGAGCUCCUGAAUGUCAAUGGUACAAUUUGGGCAAGAUUGACAGCAAGACCUUCUGGAGUCCCCUGGUUUUGUGUAGUUCAAGACUCGAUUGUCAUCUCUUCCUUCCAAUUUGUGGUCCCCCUAUAUCCUUUCAGUUAAUCCUUCCCUUUGUGAUUAUGUUUGCUGGGACAGUUUCUGUUGCCUGCCACCAUAGAACCUUAACUGAUUCCUACAGCUUGGGAGGAAGCAUCAUGAAGUGGAAGAACCCUGAGCAGAGAGUCAUGGGACCUGAGCUCUAGUUGUGGCUUUGCAGCUAACUUGCUUUGAGACCCAGGAGAGAUCCUCAAACCUCUUUGGACUUUAAUUUCCUCAUCUAUGAAGACAAUAGGCCAGAUAACCUUGAAGCUUGGUAUUGUCAAAAGACAACAUGACCUAGUAUGGGAAGAGCUCUUUCCUUUCUUCUCUAAGCUUCAGUCAAUAAACGCAUAGAUUGAAGAUGUUGAAACUUGUUCCCACAUGCACCUUGGGACCUGAAGCACAUCUUUCCUGAAGGUGGACCCCUGAGACCUGAGUUCCGCCAGGUGACAUGGAGACAGUGGUCAAAGUUCUCCAAAGGCCUCGUGUACAGAAAGUAUUUCUUGUCUUUUUUCUUCAAGUAUCUUGGAUUGCAUGUCCUUUUGAAGAUGCCCUACUUUUGGAAACACCACAAUUAUACUAAUUAGAGCUAAUGAUUUAACAAAUGUAAAGUGCUGAGAAUAGCUCCUAGAACAUUUUGAGUCCUCAGUAAAUACUAAUUAUAUUAUAGGCUAAUAAUUCUUUCUCUGAAACCCUCAGAGUCCUAUGUAUUUUGGAAUACAGAAUUUUUUUAGAUUUUAAAACAGAAAUAAGGUGGAUAUACUUAUCUUGCACAAUAUCUCCAGCACCCCUAAAUCAAAUACAUUACUAUUUCUGAAGUGAAACACAUGAACAUUCACACGAAGUAUAUCAUAAACAGUCUCAUGUUAAUUCAGGUCAGAUUGUGUCACAUGGAAAUUAUUUUAAAACUUUUGAUUUUUAGAGCUUUUCUGAUUUUGAAAUUGCAGAUAAGGGAUUAUGAACCUAUAUCAUCAUCAUCAUCAUUAGUUUUUUUAAAAAAAAUAGACUUCAUUUUUUAGAGCAGUUUUAGAUUCACAGCGAAAGUACAAAGAUUUCCCACAGACCUUCUGCCACCGCACAUUCACAGCCUCCCCGUUAUAAACAUCCCCCACCAGAGCAGGACGUUUCUUACAAUUGAUGAACCUACAGUGAGAAAUCCUUAUCGCUUGAAGUCUAUAGUUUACAAUAUGGUUCAUUGUUGGUGUUGUACAUUCUAGGGGUUUGGAAAAAUGUAUAAUGACAUGUACCCACCAUCAUACAGAGUAUUUGCACUGCCCUAGUCUGUGCUCCACCAGUUCAUCCCUUCCCCUCCUCCAACCCUGGUAACCCCUAAUCUUUUUACUGACUCCAUAGUUUUGCCUUUUCCAGGAUAUCAUAUAAUUGGAAUCAUAGAGUAUGUAGCCUUUUCAGACUGACUUUUUUCACUUAGUAAUACGCAUUUGAGUAUUCU
rnacentral:lncRNA from 1 species